rnacentral:misc_RNA from 1 species
ACAAGCAUGCCUAAAAGCGUGGCAUACUCGUUGGCACCACCACCCUCAGAGAGCAGCUGCCGCGCUGAACAGCGGUACUUUUACUCAUCAAAACCGACGCUGAUAGCACCCAAUGGCCUCUACUCUUGCAGGCCAACCAACAAACUUAGUCAAUCGGCAUUUCCAAGUGCGAAGCAAGAGACGACAUAUAUCAGCGCAGCGCUUUUUGCUCUUUCAUCACAUGCUUUGCAAGAUGUUGUGAUGGACGUGCCUCUGUGUGGAAGCCAUCUGGGAAGUCAAGCGCUUAUCGGUGACGGCGUGCGGAACUUUCGAACUAGUGGGCUCAGCUGCAGUGCUUCCUGGAAAACUUUCCAUUUUUUUCCCAAGUGUCCCCAGAAUUGGGGAUCAUAGCUUCAAUCUAAUGUUGCAAAGGUUACCCCAGGGCUUCGGCUGAGUAAGGCAUUGUUAUAGGUGCGAAUGCCUUUUUCUUUGCGACUCUUGGGGGGGGGGGUGAAAUGGCUAGUCUGUUUGCAUGCUUUUGUUCACUUGUCGCAGUCGCAUUACCUCAAGCUCUGUUGAAUGGGCGACCCCGGAAUGUCUCGGCUUGAGAACGGCGUUAGUGAGACCACCUCAUUUUUUCAUCCGACUGCCAACAUGCGACAAAGGUGUAAGUUGCACUCAGUUUGCUGACAUAGUCCCUGGCAAUACUGUCUUUCAGCUUCCAUAUGUCUUUUUCACCCACAAGUUCGCACAAAGCGCCAUCCAGACUGAGCAGACUCAAACAUGAUUCUUUGUUGUGGAUGGAACAUCCUAACAUUGUGCAUUCCACCCCGUGCAAAUGGGUGUUUUUUAUGUGUUGUUUUGUCUGAAGAUCCUUGAAGAGCUAGUGGAACGACAGAGCUGCGCUGGAGCCACCAGCUUCCACAGAGCCAACAGCUUACUGGAACUUCUCGUGUACCAAGAAGAGCCGACUAUGCUGUCUUCCUUCGUUGAGAACUGCUGCGUUGAGUGCACUCGGUGACGCAGCGCACUUUCAUGAGAUUCACUGAAUUGGUGGGUGCCGCGAAAGAGAAAGCCUAAUACGAGUUGAUUUGUCUUGGCGGCUCAACAUCCCUUUUUUUUUUGCGUGUUGGUGGAUGGGCACGCCUCAGAAAGCAAGUGCUCGGUCUUCCAACUGAUUGUGCUUUUCGACGCGACUACUGCACGAAGCACCUCAUGCCAGUAUUUUCCUUUUCCGCCACCCGCGCAUGCGCGCUAGAAAGCAAAAGCAACCUGGGGCCUGGAGCUCGGGACACAAUAAGCUAAGGUGUCUGUACGUGGUAUCUCACAAGCAUGCUAGGCGCCACAUCUGGUGACUCGAGUACUUUGUCGUCUUUCAACUCUCAAUGCGUGUGCUGGACAGAGAUAUCACUUACCAGCAAAAAAAAAACGUUUUCGUUCUUUUCAUUUGCAAAUCCAUCCCAUGGCUCUUCGUGGAUCAAUGCUCGUAAAGACUGCAAUGUAAGCUUCAAAUAACCUGACUCUCGGCCUUAGCGUCAUCCUUUUUUAUGAUUGGCAACUGAAGGGAACUUCCUCUGCUCAGCAGUUUUCUUCUUUUUGCAGUCAGUUUUGCAUUCACACUCGUGUCCAGCUUGCAAUAUCUGCUUUAUUCCACUCUGCGUUUCUUCGCGCUCAAGAAGUUAUUAGCUGACGCUGGGCGGAAUUUUUUUUUUGAAAGCUGGAGACAGGGAAUAAAAGGGGGCUGCUCGAAAAACAAUAUGAUUAUGAGGAGUGAGUCAACGUGCUCUCCACAAUUCCAAUUCAAUGCGCCACCGAACGUUUGUCCUUGCCCCAUUUUCGUCUCUCUAUUCGUUUCAGAUCUGAAGAAAUAGAGUCAUUUUAAGCAUUUCAUUCGCCCCCACCCACACCCUUGUUUACCCACUGCAACAGGAAUCCUUGGAUGACGGGAAAAGGGGGAUACCGAAGUCUACUUAUUCAGUUGUGGUGCUAUCGUGAGCACGAGUGGAAGGAUACCAGAUCGGUAUGGUCUUCAACGGAGAUAGGGAACUCACCAGCUAGGCCAAGUUGGGAGCAUAUAUUGGAAUACAUCAUGCUUAUCUUUGGGUAUCGUUCUCUCGUUUGGGGCUCUUUCCACUCUCGGUUGCAGUCUAACCCCCUGAUGACGGGAGACACCUCAGCGUAGUAUCAGGGAUAGUCCCAACUCUAUGUGGGCGCUAGGCAGCUCCUCUCCUUGCUACUGCAGAGCCACCUCUGGCGGUGACAGGGUAGAGUGCCUACGACACGGGGAGGUCAGAGCAAUGCAUGGCCACAGAUAUGUUGGCGGUGAGGUACUAGAUAAUGCUGCAUCGGAGUGAUCUGCGACAGUGAACGCGCUUGCGCCAGCCGUGUGAUGGGCAACGUGCCAGCGUGACUCAAACCUGCCUCGCCUGUACCUGAAUGCUCUACUGGUGUGGAGAGCCUGAGUAUCACACCAAGCAAAGCACCAGGUGGCGGCCUGCCUCAUGGGGAGCCGCACUGAGGCGACCUGCGAGGCAGGGGCCGUGCUGGGAUGGCUUGGCGGGGGUUGCGCCAGCGCAUGUCUGCAGCCGCUUGCCGCCGCGAGGGGGCCUUUAGCAUGCGGGGUGCAUUUCAGUUUGAUUCGUGUCUUCUAUGGCGGAGAAUGAACAAGCCCACUUACACAC